CGGAGGGUGCAAGCGUUAUCCGGAUUCACUGGGUUAAAGGGUGCGUAGGCGGAAUGGAAAGUCCGUUGUGAAAUCUCUGAGCUUAACUCGGAAAUUGCGGUGGAUACUAUCAUUCUUGAAUACUGUGGAGGUUAGCGGAAUAUGUCCAUGUAGCGGUGAAAUGCAUAGAUAUGACAUAGAACACCAAUUGCGAAGGCAGCUGGCUACACAGAUAUUGACGCUGAGGCACGAAAGCGUGGGGAUCAAACAGGAUUAGAUACCCUGGUAGUCCACGCCCUAAACGAUGAUUACUCGACAUUUGCGAUACACAGCAAGUGUCUGAGCGAAAGCAUUAAGUAAUCCACCUGGGAAGUACGACCGCAAGGUUG
rnacentral:rRNA from 1 species